CUGGCGGCAGGCCUAACACAUGCAAGUCGAGCGCGCCUUCGGGUGAGCGGCGGACGGGUUAGUAACGCGUGGGAACGUGCCCUUUUCUACGGAAUAGCCUCUGGAAACGGAGAGUAAUACCGUAUACGCCCUUUGGGGGAAAGAUUUAUCGGAGAAGGAUCGGCCCGCGUUAGAUUAGGUAGUUGGUGGGGUAACGGCCUACCAAGCCUACGAUCUAUAGCUGGUUUUAGAGGAUGAUCAGCAACACUGGGACUGAGACACGGCCCAGACUCCUACGGGAGGCAGCAGUGGGGAAUCUUAGACAAUGGGGGCAACCCUGAUCUAGCCAUGCCGCGUGAGUGAUGAAGGCCUUAGGGUCGUAAAGCUCUUUCGCCUGUGAUGAUAAUGACAGUAGCAGGUAAAGAAACCCCGGCUAACUCCGUGCCAGCAGCCGCGGUAAUACGGAGGGGGUUAGCGUUGUUCGGAAUUACUGGGCGUAAAGCGCGCGUAGGCGGAUUAGAAAGUUGGGGGUGAAAUCCCGGGGCUCAACCUCGGAACUGCCUCCAAAACUGCUAGUCCAGAGUUCGAGAGAGGUGAGUGGAAUUCCGAGUGUAGAGGUGAAAUUCGUAGAUAUUCGGAGGAACACCAGUGGCGAAGGCGGCUCACUGGCUCGAUACUGACGCUGAGGUGCGAAAGUGUGGGGAGCAAACAGGAUUAGAUACCCUGGUAGUCCACACCGUAAACGAUGAAUGCC
rnacentral:rRNA from 1 species